GAUGAACGCUGACAGAAUGCUUAACACAUGCAAGUCUACUUGAUCCUUCGGGUGAUGGUGGCGGACGGGUGAGUAACGCGUAAAGAACUUGCCCUGCAGUCUGGGACAACAUUUGGAAACGAAUGCUAAUACCGUAUAUUAUGUGAGUUUCGCGUGAAAUUCAUAUGAAAGCUAUAUGCGCUGCAGGAGAGCUUUGCGUCCUAUUAGCUAGUUGGUGAGGUAACGGCUCACCAAGGCGAUGAUAGGUAGCCGGCCUGAGAGGGUGAACGGCCACAAGGGGACUGAGACACGGCCCUUACUCCUACGGGAGGCAGCAGUGGGGAAUAUUGGACAAUGGACCAAAAGUCUGAUCCAGCAAUUCUGUGUGCACGAUGAAGUUUUUCGGAAUGUAAAGUGCUUUCAGUUGGGACGAAGUAAGUGACGGUACCAACAGAAGAAGCGACGGCUAAAUACGUGCCAGCAGCCGCGGUAA
rnacentral:rRNA from 1 species